GACCUUCUCCUGGCAGCUGCCUAUGUUUUGGAUGCCCAGUACAACAGAAAUGUUCCAUUUGAAACUCACCUCAGGCCGUCAGACGUUACUAUUUUUAUAACCACUAGACAACGCAGGUUGCCGCAUACUUCUUUAUUUGUGUAGACUUCGCUCUUGCCCUGUUUGAAGAGCCUGAGUUGCUUCCCCUGCCUUUCUUGGCCACCUCAAUAGCAGGAGUACUCUGCCUGACUGCAUACUUUGGCAGACUGGUACAUUUUGCAAAAGUCACUCCUCAAAUGGUUUUCUGGAAGGAUACAAAAAACAUCUGCACCAUGGUAACCAUGGUAGCAAGUGUUCAUUGUAGUACUUGUAAGAGUUUAUGACCGAAGGCAGGAGCCAUGAAGAAAAGAGACUCGAUAAAUUUGCUUUUGACACUUCCAUACGGUGAACGCCAUAAGCACAACUGCAAGCAAACCACAAACUGAAGAACAAAUACGGCAAAAUGUGGCAGUGCAGACAUUUCAGCAUAUCAAGAGCACUUCCAAAUUACAGGAAAAAAAGAUAUCUCAAUAGAUAAUUUUUCUGAAGAUAAGUGAAGGCAACUCAUAAGGAAAAAAUAUGUAAAAUGGCCGAUAGGAAAGAUGUUUAACGUCACUAAUUAAAAAUUACAGAAUAAAACAACAAUAAAAUACCAUGUGUUUGCCUAUAAAA